rnacentral:lncRNA from 1 species
CACUACUCCCUGACAACUAGCGGCAACGGACGCUGCUCCACCACCUACAACAGGCUCUACGUGGCAGGCCAUAGCAAUAGCCACGGGUCUACUCCACUACCCUUCGCAAUAAAUUCUCCUGACCAUGGGCGGCCCACUACCAGACGGUUACAAAUGUCGCCAUCAAUCCGCUGCCUCCUCCGUCUAUAAAAGGGGGACCC